GAGUCAAAGGGCUAUACGAAACCCCNCGGCGCAAUUAAUGUAAAGGUUUGCAAUAGUAAACUGUGAUGUGACCUUAUAUAUAGUACUAUAUAUGAGUGCAACAUCGACCCGUCUAAAGGUGUUCGCAUCUGGGCGGAGUUUGAGCGAUAAUGUAGAGACCCGAAAGAUGGUGAACUAUGCUUGUGCAGGUUGAAGUCARAGGAAACUCUGAUGGAGGACCGAAGCGGUUCUGACGUGCAAAUCGAUCGUCGGACAUGAGUAUAGGGGCGAAAGACUAAUCGAACCAUCUAGUAGCUGGUUCCCUCCGAAGUUUCCCUCAGGAUAGCUGGCAUUUGUUGUUAUAGUUUUACCCGGUAAAGCGAAUGAUUAGAAGUAUUGGGGACGAAAUGUUUUCAACUUAUUCUCAAACUUUAAAUGGGUUCGAAGUGCAUCUCGUUUAAUUAGAGAUGUACAUUGAAUAUAAAUGCCUAGUGGGCCAUUUUUGGUAAGCAGAACUGGCGAUGUGGGAUGAACCAAACAUCUAGUUAAGGUGCCUAACACCAUGCUCAUGAGAACCCACAAAAGGUGUUGGUUGAUAAAGACAGCAGGACGGUGGACAUGGAAGUCGUCAUCCGCUAAGGAGUGUGUAACAACUCACCUGCCGAAUCAACCAGCCCUGAAAAUGGAUGGCGCUGUAGCGUGGGACCUAUACUGGAUCGGUAGCGUAAGUCGUAUUUUACGAUGAGUAAACGUUAUCGUGUAGGAGGGUGCCGUGGUUGCUAAGAAGCUACUGGCGUAAGGCAGAGUGGAGCGGCCACGGGUACAGAUCUUGGUAGAGAGCAAUA
rnacentral:rRNA from 1 species